rnacentral:miRNA from 1 species
AAAUAACACAUUUUAUAUAUAUAUACACACACAUAUGUGUGUGUGUGUGUGUGUGUGUGUAUAUCCAGCAUACAAUUGCACUACCACAAGUAAUUACCAUAUCUA